GGGGCCGUGGGGUAGCCUGGUAUAUCCUUUCGGCUUUGGGAGCCGGAGACCCGAGUUCAAAUCUCGGCGGCCCCA
rnacentral:tRNA from 4 species